rnacentral:lncRNA from 1 species
UAAAGAGUUAGAGUUAGGAAGAUUGAGACAAAGAGAUUUAUAGUGGUUUGGGAACAAUCUUCCCUACGUGCUCUCUUUAAAAUCAUACUUGGGUAUUUCACUAUAAUCAAAAAUUGAUUACAACUCUUGAGUUUUUACAAGCUCAUCCAACAACUUGGUAUUUUAGCAGGCUAACACAAACCUCUUCCCUUAGUGUAUUAGUCCCUCACUAAGUCCAUUUAUCCUUGAGUGUUAAUGAAACUCAACUAAUUUCUUGUAUUUUUAAU